AUGGAGUACAAGAGGUCAUCGCAUGUGGAGGAGGACGAGGAGCUGGAGGAGGAGGAGGAAGAGGAGGAGGACGAUGAGGAGGAGGAGGAGGAAGAGGACGAGGAGGGGGCGAUGAGGGACCGUCGGCACCAGCACCAGCACCCGCACCAUCAUCGCCACCACUACACCACGGCGCCGGCCACGGCCGCGCCCCCGCUGCACCUGCACAUGCAGGGGCAGGCUCCCCAGGUUCUUGGCUCGCCUGCCGCGGCUGCCUCUUCGCCCUCCUCCUUGAUGGAGGCGGCGGCUUUCUCCAGGCCUCUCUUGCCUCCCAACUCCUCCCUUGUCUCCUCGCCGCCGCCGCCGCCGCAGGCGCCGCCCGGCUUCCUCCUGCCUCAGCACCAGCAUCCCCACCGGAGAAGGGUGGACAGGGAGAGGGAGAAGGAGAGGACGGUGGAGGCGCCUGGGGAGGCCCACCGCCAGCAGCAGCAGCCGCAGCCGCAGCACCAGCGCCAUCAGGAGCCGCAGCCGCAGCGCCAUCAGGAGCCGGCGAGAAAUGGCGUGCUCGGUGGUGGCGCCAUGCCUCCCCCGCCGCCUACGCUUGCCAUCGUGACCGGCGGCGCCACAAGGGCGGCAGGCGAGCACGGUGGCGCCUCGGGGCCGGAGCCGCUGCCGUGGAGGUACAGGGAGUGCCUGCGGAACCACGCCGCGCGGAUGGGCGCGCACGUGCUCGACGGCUGCGGCGAGUUCAUGCCGUCCCCGGGCGACGGGCCCGCCGCGCUGGCCUGCGCCGCGUGCGGCUGCCACCGCAGCUUCCACCGCCGGGAGCCGGUGGUGGUGGUCCCCUCGCCCUCGCCCUCGCCAGCCUCCGCCGUGGUGUCCCCCUCCGCGACCCCAGCCGGCGCCAACUCCCGGCUCAUGCCGCUCCUCCUCGCCCCGCCGCACAUGCAGCAGAAGCGCCCGCACGUCCCGGCGUCCCCGAUGUCCGCGCCCGCCGCGCUGGCCGAGUCCUCGAGCGAGGAGCUGCGCGCCCCGCCGCCGCCGCCCCCUCCGCCCCACUCGCAGGCGCAGGCGGCCGCGGGCGGGUCGGCCUCCGCGCCCCCGGCGCCGAGCAAGAAGCGGUUCCGGACCAAGUUCACGCCGGAGCAGAAGGAGCGCAUGCUGGAGUUCGCGCACCGCGUGGGCUGGCGCGUGCAGAAGCCCGACGGCGGCGUGGUGGACGCCUUCUGCGCGCAGGUCGGCGUGCCCCGCCGCGUGCUCAAGGUGUGGAUGCACAACAACAAGCACCUCGCCAAGACCCCGGCCACGUCCCCGCAGCCGCUGCCGCCGCUCCACCACGACCCUAGCCCUCCUCCCCACCACCAGCACCAGCACCACCCAGCGCCGCCCCACCACCAGCAGCAGCAGCACGGUGCAUGA
rnacentral:rRNA from 1 species